rnacentral:rRNA from 1 species
UAGCUAGUUGGUGAGGUAAAGGCUUACCAAGGCGACGAUCUGUAGCGGGUCUGAGAGGAUGAUCCGCCACACUGGAACUGAGACACGGUCCAGACUCCUACGGGAGGCAGCAGUGGGGAAUUUUGGACAAUGGGGGCAACCCUGAUCCAGCCAUGCCGCGUGAGUGAAGAAGGCCUUCGGGUUGUAAAGCUCUUUCGGCCGGGAAGAAAUCGCAUGGGUCAAUACCCUGUGUGGAUGACGGUACCGGAAUAAGAAGCACCGGCUAACUACGUGCCAGCAGCCGCGGUAAUACGUAGGGUGCGAGCGUUAAUCGGAAUUACUGGGCGUAAAGCGUGCGCAGGCGGUUUUGUAAGACAGGCGUGAAAUCCCCGGGCUUAACCUGGGAACUGCGUUUGUGACUGCAAGGCUAGAGUACGGCAGAGGGGGGUGGAAUUCCACGUGUAGCAGUGAAAUGCGUAGAGAUGUGGAGGAACACCAAUGGCGAAGGCAGCCCCCUGGGUCGAUACUGACGCUCAUGCACGAAAGCGUGGGUAGCAAACAGGAUUAGAUACCCUGGUAGUCCACGCCCUAAACUAUGUCAACUAGGUGUUGGGUGGGUAAAACCAUUUAGUACCGUAGCUAACGCGUGAAGUUGACCGCCUGGGGAGUACGGCCGCAAGGUUAAAACUCAAAGGAAUUGACGGGGACCCGCACAAGCGGUGGAUGAUGUGGAUUAAUUCGAUGCAACGCGAAAAACCUUACCUACCCUUGACAUGCCAGGAACUUGCCAGAGAUGGCUUGGUGCCCGAAAGGGAGCCUGGACACAGGUGCUGCAUGGCUGUCGUCAGCUCGUGUCGUGAGAUGUUGGGUUAAGUCCCGCAACGAGCGCAACCCUUGUCGUUAAUUGCCAUCAUUUGGUUGGGCACUUUAACGAGACUGCCGGUGACAAACCGGAGGAAGGUGGGGAUGACGUCAAGUCCUCAUGGCCCUUAUGGGUAGGGCUUCACACGUCAUACAAUGGUCGGUACAAAGGGUUGCCAAGCCGCGAGGCGGAGCCAAUCCCAGAAAGCCGAUCGUAGUCCGGAUUGCAGGCUGCAACUCGCCUGCAUGAAGUCGGAAUCGCUAGUAAUCGUGGAUCAGCAUGUCACGGUGAAUACGUUCCCGGGUCUUGUACACACCGCCCGUCACACCAUGGGAGCGGGUUCCGCCAGAAGUAGGUAGCCUAACCGCAAGGGGGGCGCUUACCACGGCGGGGUUCGUGACUGGGGUGAAGUCGUAACAAGGUAGCCGUAGGGGAACCUGCGGCUG